rnacentral:tRNA from 1 species
GAGGGAUUAGUUAAAUUAUAAUACAAGAUUGUCAGUCUUAUGUUACUAGUAGAACUAGUAUCUCUUA